GAUGAACGCUGGCGGCGUGCCUAAUACAUGCAAGUCGAGCGAACGGACGAGAAGCUUGCUUCUCUGAUGUUAGCGGCGGACGGGUGAGUAACACGUGGAUAACCUACCUAUAAGACUGGGAUAACUUCGGGAAACCGGAGCUAAAACCGGAUGAUAUUUUGAACCGCAUGGUUCAAAAGUGAAAGACGGUCUUGCUGUCACUUAUAGAUGGAUCCGCGCUGCAUUAGCUAGUUGGUAAGGUAACGGCUUACCAAGGAAACGAUGCAUAGCCGAGCUGAGAGGGUGAUCGGCCACCCUGGAACUGAGACACGGUCCAGACCCCUCCGGGAGGAAGCAGUAGGGAAUCUUCCGCGAUGGGCGAAAACAUGACGGAGCACCGCCGCGUGAGUGAUGAAGGUCUUCGGAUCGUAAAACUCUGUUAUUGGGGAAGAACAUAUGUGUAAGUAACUGUGCACAUCUUGACGGUACCUAAUCAGAAAGCCACGGCUAACUACGUG
rnacentral:rRNA from 1 species